GACGAACGCUGGCGGCGUGCUUAACACAUGCAAGUCGAACGGAAAGGCCCUUCGGGGUACUCGAGUGGCGAACGGGUGAGUAACACGUGGGUGAUCUGCCCUGCACUUUGGGAUAAGCCUGGGAAACUGGGUCUAAUACCGAAUAGGACCACGCGCUUCAUGGUGUGUGGUGGCAAGCUUUUGCGGUGUGGGAUGGGCCCGCGGCCUAUCAGCUUGUUGGUGGGGUAAUGGCCUACCAAGGCGACGACGGGUAGCCGGCCUGAGAGGGUGACCGGCCACACUGGGACUGAGAGACGGCCCAGACUCCUACGGGAGGCAGAAGUGGGGAAUAUUGCACAAUGGGCGCAAGCCUGAUGCAGCGACGCCGCGUGAGGGAUGACGGCCUUCGGGUUGUAAACCUCUUUCAAUAGGGACGAAGCGCAAGUGACGGUACCUAUAGAAGAAGCACCGGCCAACUACGUG
rnacentral:rRNA from 1 species